UGGAAAGCGUUAGAGACAAGCAAUUUUUAUAUUGCUAAUUAUAUUAUGUGCGAGUAUAMUUCCAAAACCUAAUUUUAAUAUUUUUAGAUGGAAGGAUAUAAACAAGUGAACAAAUAGGAGAGUUGCGAUGUGCUAAACGAAAUUUGCACAACUAUGCCGAUAUAUCAGUGCAAAUGGCACACAAAUUUACUACAAAAGAAGUUCAUGUAAAAACAAAGAAUCUCACAAAAAAAUAUAAAGAGGAAAAUAAAAAAUGUGGACCCUCGGGGGGCAGCCCAUCGGGAUGGAAACAUUUUGAUGCAGCCCAUCAAAUUAUCAGACUGACGGCAGCCAAUACUGUUGAAAUCUACGAAUCAUUUACUGUGAUAAGCUGAGUUUUACAUGUUUAAGAUCACCAGAACCAAUGUCAUCUGAAUUAUUGUCUACGCCAGUAAUG